rnacentral:rRNA from 1 species
AUUGAACGCUGGCGGCAGGCCUAACACAUGCAAGUCGAACGAGUGGCGGACGGGUGAGUAAUGUCUGGGAAACUGCCUGAUGGAGGGGGAUAACUACUGGAAACGGUAGCUAAUACCGCAUAACAUCAGAUGGGCCCAGAUGGGAUUAGCUUGUUGGGGGGGUAACGGCUCACCAAGGCGAAGAUCCCUAGCUGGUCUGAGAGGAUGCCCAUCCAACCGGGAACUGAGACCUGGUCCAUACUCCUACGGGAGGUAGCAGUGGGGCAUAUUGCACAAUGGGAGCAAGCCUGAUGCAGCCAUGCCGCGGGUAUGAAGAAGGUCUUCGGGUUGUAAAGUACUUUCAGCGGGGAGGCGUUACCCGCAGAAGAAGCACCGGCUAACUCCGUGCCAGCAGCCGCGGUAAUUC